UGCAAUGGUGGCCGUGCGCGGGCAGGCUUUGGUCUGGCCGGGGUUCCUUAUUCACUCGGUUUCUCACCCUGCGUACGGCUGCCACCCUA
rnacentral:antisense_RNA from 5 species